GUAGGUGGCAAGCGUUGUCCGGAAUUAUUGGGCGUAAAGCGCGCGCAGGCGGUUCUUUAAGUCUGAUGUGAAAGCCCACGGCUCAACCGUGGAGGGUCAUUGGAAACUGGAGAACUUGAGUACAGAAGAGGAAAGCGGAAUUCCACGUGUAGCGGUGAAAUGCGUAGAGAUGUGGAGGAACACCAGUGGCGAAGGCGGCUUUCUGGUCUGUAACUGACGCUGAGGCGCGAAAGCGUGGGGAGCAAACAGGAUUAGAUACCCUGGUAGUCCACGCCGUAAACGAUGAGUGCUAAGUGUUAGGGGGGUUUCCGCCCCCCUUAGUGCUGCAGCUAACGCAUUAAGCGCUCCGCCUGGGAGUACGGCCGCAAGGCUG
rnacentral:rRNA from 1 species